UCAGCUGGCCUCUCACAAAUCACACACUCACAAAAAGCCCAAAAAGCAAAAAUUAAACAUUAAGAAAAAUGUAUUCAGGAGAAUUCGACGGCGCCACCGCCUUCUCCGGCGGAGGAUUCAUGCCAUCUCAGGCCACCGUUAACCCCAAUAACUCCUCCUCUGUUUCCAAAAAUCGAAUUGUCCGGACCCUGCUUCCAUUGACUGUGAAGCAGCUAAAUGAAAUAUCAAGUAGUAUUGAAUUGACUGCUACAAUUGAUGGUAUUGAUGUCAGCACUGUUACAAUUGUUGGGAAGGUAUGUGAUAUGCAAGAUAAGGAACCCCAGUUUACCUUCCUUAUUGAUGAUGGCACAGGGAAGAUUGAAUGCAGUAGAUGGGCUCAUGAGCGCUUGGAAUUCAACGAAGUAAGCCAAAUCUUGCAAGGAAUGUAUGUUCGUGUUUAUGGACACUUGAAAUCCCUUCAGGAUAAAAGGACCUUAAAUGCCUAUUCCUUGAGGCCUGUGAUUGACUUCAAUGAGAUUACAAGCCAUUUUAUCGAGUGCAUAUAUGUUCAUGUAUAUAACACCAAUUUACGGGCUGGCAUCAUGGCUCAUCCCCAAAUGAUAAAUUCUACUGCUAUUAAUACCCCUCUGAAGGAAUAUCAAGCUGUUCCUUCUAAUCAAUUCUCUGGCCAUUAUAGCUUUGAUGGAGACAAGAGCAUUUAUCAGAUUGUCUUGAACUUUUUGCGGAGACCUGAGUUCCUUGCAAUUAACAAUGGGAUACAUUGCAGCGAAAUUGCUAAACAGCUUAAUCUUCCAAUGGAUAAGCUCAUGGAAGUUUUAGAAUAUCUUAAUGAAAAUAGUUUAGUUUACUCGGUUGAUGAGUUUCACUACAAAUCUGCUGUCAAUGCGUGAUAUCUACAUUCUGCAAAAAAUGCCAAUCAUGUUGGUCUAAGCUUGAACAACACCAUGCUGCAAAGCAUUCACCCAUGUUGAUUUCAGGACUAUCAAGAUUGUGGGAUACAAAACUAGGCUUCAGUGAGAGCUCAUUCAACAUUUUUUUUUUUUGAAGUAUGUGAAUCCCUCUACAUAAAUUUUGUCUGGCUUGAGGAAAUCUAUGGUUUUAAUGCGAUAAUUUUAUUGACCCUUGACUGCCACUAAAUUGUCAGUUUGAAUCUCGAUGAUCAUUAAGUUGACAUUAUCCUUUUUUCCGCCCUAGGCACUGCUAGAUGAAGAUACAAAUGCCAUAUUUCAUUCUAGUAUCACCGUGCUAGAUACCAGAGUGAAAUUUAAAUCUGUAAAUUGAUAAAAUGAUGAAAUUGUUUUUCCUUUUCA